UUGACAAGCAGGAAAGUCAAUCUCUGUUUCAAUUCUAUCACAUAUCUGACACUUGGUUAGCCCAGGGGAUCACUCAGACUACAGCCAAAAUAAAAGCAUCAUUUUGUGCUGAAAUUACCAAGUCUUCUCUUCCACUGUUGUCUUUCUUUCCCUCAGAAAAGAAAAUAAAAUUUCUGACAUUUUAGGAUUCUGUGCUUAGAAUUUUAUGGGAGAGUUAACAAGGAAAAAAAAAAAUUGACUUCUCUAAAUACCAUUCCCAACAGAUAAGAGAGUCAGAGUUUGCCCCUUCCCACACAGCUCAGAAAAAGGAAUUUCAGAAGCUCAGUUACCACCCCCAAGUUACAGUCCCACUGCUGAACUACCAAAGCUGUAGAACAGAAGAAACAGCAUUAUUUAAGACCUUACUUACCCCAGCAGGGCUGAGACUUCUCCGGUGCCUUUCAGGAGACACCAGCAGAAGCAGCACAUUUCACACAGCCAAGACAGACACACAGCAAAGAGAAAGGCUGUGGUGACUAGGCCGCUCCCACAGCCAGCACCUCCAACCACACGGGAAACAAUACAAAGUCAGAGGUCUGGCAAAGGAUAAAAAGAAAGUUCUGAAAGAAGUCUCUGAAGGCCUCUACAGUUCAGCUUCCUUGACAUUUGGGAAAGAAGAUGGACAGGAGGAGCCUUCAGACCUCGAUGAGCCAUGUGGACAGGAGGAUCUGUGUCACACCGUUCCUUGCAGUGUGCUCCCACCACUCAGAAUCUCCCUGGCCAGAUGCCACCCCUGCUGCCAAGGGGAUGAGGAACAGCUGUUGAAGGACUGUGAUGUGACAAAGCAACCAAAUGCUUCAUCCCACCUUUUGGGCCCAGAUGGCACAUGGGUGAAGGCAGGGUUCAGAUCCACCACCAUCUCAUACACAUCUGGAAACAAGAGCCUACUUCUUGCAGCUGCAGCAGCUGGAUCACCCUGGUCCAGCAUAGCACAGCUGCUUCUGUGUGUGCCACACAUGAACUGGGUGAGAGCAACCAGGAGAUCAGUAGUUUGCUUUUCUUCUUUUCACCUUAUUAAAAAUCUGGACAGUUGAAACCCA
rnacentral:lncRNA from 1 species